AACGUAGGAGGCGAGCGUUAUCCGGAGUUACUGGGCGUAAAGCGCAAGUAGGCGGUUGGACAAGUUGGAUGUGAAAGCCCCCGGCUAAACUGGGGGAGGACAUACAAGACUGUCGAGCUAGAGACAGAUAGAGGGACGCAGAAUUCCGGGUGUAGCGGUGAAAUGCGCAGAUAUCAGGAGGAACACCGGUGGCGAAGGCGGGUCUCUGGGCCGAUACUGACGCUGAGGAGCGAAAGCGUGGGGAGCGAACAGG
rnacentral:rRNA from 1 species